GACAGAGGGGGCAAGCGUUGCUCGGAAUUACUGGGCGUAAAGGGCGCGUAGGCGGGAUGGCAAGUCGGUCGUGAAAUCCUUCGGCUCAACCGAAGAACGUCGAUCGAUACUGCUGUUCUUGAGGGUUGCAGAGGAGACUGGAAUUCCCGGUGUAGCGGUGGAAUGCGUAGAGAUCCGGAAGAACACCGGUGGCGAAGGCGGCCUGCUGGGCAGUUGCUGACACUGAGGCGCGACAGCGUGGGGAGCAAACAGG
rnacentral:rRNA from 1 species